GGAAAACAUUCUAGAACCGUCUUGUCGAAUUGGCUGCUUUUCCUCUUUCAUUCUGUUCUCAUAUCGGUACGUGGAAGCACGGAAUCGGCUGUUAUCACAAGAAUCCUCUAGUUAUUUGCAACUAGAGAUCUUCGAAACAGCUCGAAAAUGAGAGCGAAGUGGCGUAAGAAGCGUAUGCGUAGGCUAAAGCGUAAGCGCAGGAAGAUGCGUGCGAGGUCCAAGUAGACUGCCACAAAGAAUUUCACUCUUGACGACUUUCCAUUGGAGACCAGCCUAGUUGUGUAAAUUCUUGUUUAAUAAAAAAGCAGAAAAAUGUCCAAUGAGCUGCAUUUACUUUUUGUCUAAUGGUUGUUCAUGGGAAUUCCAAAAAAAUAUAUAAAAUCCUACAAAA